UACGGAGGGUGCAAGCGUUGUUCGGAAUUAUUGGGCGUAAAGAGCGUGUAGGUGGCCAGGUAAGUCAGAUGUGAAAUCCCUUGGCUUAACCAAGGAAGGGCAUUUGAAACUACCCGGCUUGAGUACGGGAGGGGGAAGCGGAAUUCCCGGUGUAGAGGUGAAAUUCGUAGAUAUCGGGAGGAACACCGGUGGCGAAGGCGGCUUCCUGGACCGAUACUGACGCUGAGGUGCGAAAGCGUGGGGAGCAAACAGG
rnacentral:rRNA from 1 species